rnacentral:rRNA from 1 species
AGAUUAAGUUAUUAAGGGCGCACGGUGGAUGCCUUGGCACUAGAAGCCGAUGAAGGACGUUACUAACGACGAUAUGCUUUGGGGAGCUGUAAGUAAGCUUUGAUCCAGAGAUUUCCGAAUGGGGAAACCCAGCAUGAGUUAUGUCAUGUUAUCGAUAUGUGAAUACAUAGCAUAUCAGAAGGCACACCCGGAGAACUGAAACAUCUUAGUACCCGGAGGAAGAGAAAGAAAAUUCGAUUCCCUUAGUAGCGGCGAGCGAAACGGGAAGAGCCCAAACCAACAAGCUUGCUUGUUGGGGUUGUAGGACACUCUAUACGGAGUUACAAAGGACGACAUUAGACGAAUCAUCUGGAAAGAUGAAUCAAAGAAGGUAAUAAUCCUGUAGUCGAAAAUGUUGUCUCUCUUGAGUGGAUCCUGAGUACGACGGAGCACGUGAAAUUCCGUCGGAAUCUGGGAGGACCAUCUCCUAAGGCUAAAUACUCUCUAGUGACCGAUAGUGAACCAGUACCGUGAGGGAAAGGUGAAAAGCACCCCGGAAGGGGAGUGAAAUAGAACCUGAAACCGUGUGCUUACAAGUAGUCAGAGCCCGUUAAUGGGUGAUGGCGUGCCUUUUGUAGAAUGAACCGGCGAGUUACGAUUUGAUGCAAGGUUAAGCAGUAAAUGUGGAGCCGUAGCGAAAGCGAGUCUGAAUAGGGCGUUUAGUAUUUGGUCGUAGACCCGAAACCAGGUGAUCUACCCUUGGUCAGGUUGAAGUUCAGGUAACACUGAAUGGAGGACCGAACCGACUUACGUUGAAAAGUGAGCGGAUGAACUGAGGGUAGCGGAGAAAUUCCAAUCGAACCUGGAGAUAGCUGGUUCUCUCCGAAAUAGCUUUAGGGCUAGCCUCAAGUGAUGAUUAUUGGAGGUAGAGCACUGUUUGGACGAGGGGCCCCUCUCGGGUUACCGAAUUCAGACAAACUCCGAAUGCCAAUUAAUUUAACUUGGGAGUCAGAACAUGGGUGAUAAGGUCCGUGUUCGAAAGGGAAACAGCCCAGACCACCAGCUAAGGUCCCAAAAUAUAUGUUAAGUGGAAAAGGAUGUGGCGUUGCCCAGACAACUAGGAUGUUGGCUUAGAAGCAGCCAUCAUUUAAAGAGUGCGUAAUAGCUCACUAGUCGAGUGACACUGCGCCGAAAAUGUACCGGGGCUAAACAUAUUACCGAAGCUGUGGAUUGUCCUUUGGACAAUGGUAGGAGAGCGUUCUAAGGGCGUUGAAGCAUGAUCGUAAGGACAUGUGGAGCGCUUAGAAGUGAGAAUGCCGGUGUGAGUAGCGAAAGACGGGUGAGAAUCCCGUCCACCGAUUGACUAAGGUUUCCAGAGGAAGGCUCGUCCGCUCUGGGUUAGUCGGGUCCUAAGCUGAGGCCGACAGGCGUAGGCGAUGGAUAACAGGUUGAUAUUCCUGUACCACCUAUAAUCGUUUUAAUCGAUGGGGGGACGCAGUAGGAUAGGCGAAGCGUGCGAUUGGAUUGCACGUCUAAGCAGUAAGGCUGAGUAUUAGGCAAAUCCGGUACUCGUUAAGGCUGAGCUGUGAUGGGGAGAAGACAUUGUGUCUUCGAGUCGUUGAUUUCACACUGCCGAGAAAAGCCUCUAGAUAGAAAAUAGGUGCCCGUACCGCAAACCGACACAGGUAGUCAAGAUGAGAAUUCUAAGGUGAGCGAGCGAACUCUCGUUAAGGAACUCGGCAAAAUGACCCCGUAACUUCGGGAGAAGGGGUGCUCUUUAGGGUUAACGCCCAGAAGAGCCGCAGUGAAUAGGCCCAAGCGACUGUUUAUCAAAAACACAGGUCUCUGCUAAACCGUAAGGUGAUGUAUAGGGGCUGACGCCUGCCCGGUGCUGGAAGGUUAAGAGGAGUGGUUAGCUUCUGCGAAGCUACGAAUCGAAGCCCCAGUAAACGGCGGCCGUAACUAUAACGGUCCUAAGGUAGCGAAAUUCCUUGUCGGGUAAGUUCCGACCCGCACGAAAGGCGUAACGAUUUGGGCACUGUCUCAACGAGAGACUCGGUGAAAUCAUAGUACCUGUGAAGAUGCAGGUUACCCGCGACAGGACGGAAAGACCCCGUGGAGCUUUACUGUAGCCUGAUAUUGAAAUUCGGCACAGCUUGUACAGGAUAGGUAGGAGCCUUUGAAACGUGAGCGCUAGCUUACGUGGAGGCGCUGGUGGGAUACUACCCUAGCUGUGUUGGCUUUCUAACCCGCACCACUUAUCGUGGUGGGAGACAGUGUCAAGCGGGCAGUUUGACUGGGGCGGUCGCCUCCUAAAAGGUAACGGAGGCGCUCAAAGGUUCCCUCAGAAUGGUUGGAAAUCAUUCAUAGAGUGCAAAGGCAUAAGGGAGCUUGACUGCGAGACCUACAAGUCGAGCAGGGUCGAAAGACGGACUUAGUGAUCCGGUGGUUCCGCAUGGAAGGGCCAUCGCUCAACGGAUAAAAGCUACCCCGGGGAUAACAGGCUUAUCUCCCCCAAGAGUUCACAUCGACGGGGAGGUUUGGCACCUCGAUGUCGGCUCAUCGCAUCCUGGGGCUGUAGUCGGUCCCAAGGGUUGGGCUGUUCGCCCAUUAAAGCGG